GCCCCGCGAGGCGCUGCUGGAGCACUCGGCCGCGCUGCCGCCGCUGCUGGUCGUCGACGGGUUCGAGCACCUGGCCGGGGCC
rnacentral:tRNA from 1 species